rnacentral:rRNA from 1 species
AAGUCCCCUUCGGGGGACAAGUAGAGUGGCGCACGGGUGAGUAACACGUAGGUAAUCUACCUUUGGAUGGGGAAUAACAACCGGAAACGGUUGCUAAUACCGCAUAAUGCAGCGGCACCUAAUGGUGACAGUUGUUAAAGCGGGGGAUCGAAAGACCUCGCGUCUAAAGAGGAGCCUGCGGCGGAUUAGCUAGUUGGUAAGGUAAUGGCUUACCAAGGCGACGAUCCGUAACCGGCCUGAGAGGGCGGUCGGUCACACUGACACUGACAUACGGGUCAGACUCCUACGGGAGGCAGCAGUCGGGAAUUUUGGGCAAUGGGCGAAAGCCUGACCCAGCAACGCCGCGUGAAGGAUGAAAUCCCUCGGGAUGUAAACUUCGCAAGAACGGGAAGAAUAAGCGAUAGUUAAUAUCUGUCGUGAUGACGGUACCGUUUGUAAGCUCCGGCUAACUCCGUGCCAGCAGCCGCGGUAAUACGGGGGGAGCAAGCGUUGUUCGGAUUUACUGGGCGUAAAGGGCGCGUAGGCGGUCAGCACAAGUCAGUUGUGAAAUCUCCGAGCUUAACUCGGAAAGGUCAACUGAUACUGUGCGACUAGAGUGCAGAAGGGGCAACUGGAAUUCUCGGUGUAGCGGUGAAAUGCGUAGAUAUCGAGAGGAACACCUGCGGCGAAGGCGGGUUGCUGGGCUGACACUGACGCUGAGGCGCGAAAGCUAGGGGAGCGAA